GAAAUAAAUGAAAGCCCAAAGCCCAAACAACACAAAGAGGGCCGGCCAUAUUAUGUGGGGAAGGAGAGAUAUUUGGUCAAGUGUUGACUAGGUUUUCUUUUGUCUAUAUAAGGAACUUUAUAGUGAUAAAGUUCAUUAGGGUUUUUUGAAGUGUUUAAACAACAAAGAGGCAAAAGAAAAAAGCUCUCUAACACAUCAAAGGGCCGGCCACCAUUGGGGUGUUUUAGCUAACAAUCAUUCACCCUUUUGGUUAUUCCUUCAUCCUUCUCACUACACUAGUGGGUGAGAAUCUUUAGAGGUUUCCUACUUUGGAAACUU
rnacentral:lncRNA from 1 species